GGUGAUGGUGAUGAUGGUGGUGAUAAAGGUGAUAAUGGUGGUGAUGAUGGUGUUGAUAAUGGUGGUGGUGACAGUGGUGAUGAUCAUGAUGGUGAUGAUGGUGGUGAUAGUGAUGGUGAUGAUGGUGAUAGUGAUGAUGAUGGUGAUGGUAGUGAUGGUGGUGGUGAUGGUGGUGGUGGUGAUGGUGGUGAUGGUGGUGAUGGUGGUGGUGGGGUUGGUGGUGAUGGUGAUGAUGGUGGUGACGGUGGUGAUGAU
rnacentral:lncRNA from 1 species